rnacentral:rRNA from 1 species
UAAUACGGAGGGUGCAAGCGUUAUCCGGAUUCACUGGGUUUAAAGGGUGCGUAGGUGGGUUGGUAAGUCAGUGGUGAAAUCCCCGAGCUUAACUUGGGAACUGCCAUUGAUACUAUCAGUCUUGAAUACCGUGGAGGUCGGCGGAAUAUGUCAUGUAGCGGUGAAAUGCUUAGAUAUGACAUAGAACACCAAUUGCGAAGGCAGCUGGCUACGCGGAUAUUGACACUGAGGCACGAAAGCGUGGGGAUCAAACAGGAUUAGAUACCCUGGUAGUCCACGCCCUAAACUAUGGAUACUCGACAUUUGCGAUAAACUGUAAGUGUCUGAGCGAAAGCAUUAAGUAUCCCACCUGGGAAGUACGAUCGCAAGAUUGAAACUCAAAGGAAUUGACGG